rnacentral:rRNA from 1 species
AACGAACGCUGGCGGCAGGCUUAACACAUGCAAGUCGAGCGCCCCGCAAGGGGAGCGGCAGACGGGUGAGUAACGCGUGGGAACGUACCUUUUGGUUCGGAACAACUCCGGGAAACUGGAGCUAAUACCGGAUAAGCCCUAACGGGGAAAGAUUUAUCGCCGAAAGAUCGGCCCGCGUCUGAUUAGCUAGUUGGUGAGGUAACGGCUCACCAAGGCGACGAUCAGUAGCUGGUCUGAGAGGAUGAUCAGCCACACUGGGACUGAGACACGGCCCAGACUCCUACGGGAGGCAGAAGUGGGGAAUAUUGGACAAUGGGCGCAAGCCUGAUCCAGCCAUGCCGCGUGAGUGAUGAAGGCCUUAGGGUUGUAAAGCUCUUUUGUCCGGGAAGAUAAUGACUGUACCGGAAGAAUAAGCCCCGGCUAACUUCGUG